rnacentral:rRNA from 1 species
AACGAACGCUGGCGGCAUGCCUAACACAUGCAAGUCGAACGAGACCUUCGGGUCUAUGGGCGCACGGGUACUUGACGCGUGGGAACCUACCCGUAGGUUCGGAAUCACUCCCCUAAAGGGGUGCUCAUACCGGAUGAUGUAUUACGACCAAAGAGUUAUCGCCUUUGGGUGGGGCCGUGUUGGAUUCGCUAGUUGGUAGGGUAAAAGCCUACCAAGGCCACGAUCCAUAGCUAGUGUGGUAGCAAGCUCAGGCACACUGGGACGGCGACCCGGCCCAGAAUGCGACGGGAGGCAGCGGUGGGGAAUAUUGGACACUGGGGGAAAGCCUGAUACAGCAAUGCCGCGUGAGUGAUGAAGGGCUUAGGGUUGUAAAUCUGUUUUUCACGGGAUGAUAAUGACGGUACCGGGAGAAUAAGCUCCGGCUAACUCCGUG